rnacentral:rRNA from 1 species
AUUGAACGCUGGCGGCAGGCCUAACACAUGCAAGUCGAACGGUAACAGGAAGCAGCUUGCUGCUUUGCUGACGAGUGGCGGACGGGUGAGUAAUGUCUGGGAAACUGCCUGAUGGAGGGGGAUAACUACUGGAAACGGUAGCUAAUACCGCAUAACGUCGCAAGACCAAAGAGGGGGACCUUAGGGCCUCUUGCCAUCGGAUGUGCCCAGAUGGGAUUAGCUAGUAGGUGGGGUAACGGCUCACCUAGGCGACGAUCCCUAGCUGGUCUGAGAGGAUGACCGGCCACACUGGAAAGGGGACACGGUCCAGAAUCCGACGGGAGGCAGCAGUGGGAAAUAUAGCACAAUGGGCGGAAGCCUAAAGUAGCCAUGCCGCGUGUAUGAAGAAGGCCUUCGGGUUGUAAAGUACUUUCGGCGGGGAGGAAGGGAGUAAAGUUAAUACCUGUGCUCAUUGACGUUACCCGCAGAAGAAGCACCGGCGAACUCCGU